CGUCCCCUGUGGUGUUCGAGUGAAGGGCCAAGUCAUCAUUGAGCCUAAUCAAGUACCCUAGGGAAUCGGCUCUCGGAGUUGUUGCGCACGUCCGCAUUAUCAGCGGAAAGCCUGAUACUCCGAACCAUUUCCCCUGUUUGAACCCAGUGGUUCAAGGGUCAUAGCCUGGACGGCACCGCCGGGGGGCGU
rnacentral:other from 1 species